AUUGAACGCUGGCGGCAGGCCUAACACAUGCAAGUCGAGCGGAGCAGCGGACGGGGACGGAAUAGCUAGGAAUGUGCCUGGUCGUGGGGGAUAAGGUCCGGAAACGGGAGCUAAUGCUGCAUCCUAUCAGCUGAGCCUAGGUCGGAUUGGCUAGUUGGUGGGGGAAUGGCCUACCAAGGCGACGGUCCGUAGCUGGUCUGAGAGGAUGAUCAGUCACACUGGAACUGAGACACGGUCCAGACUCCUACGGGAGGCAGCAGUGGGGAAUAUUGGACAAUGGGCGAAAGCCUGAUCCAGCCAUGCCGCGUGUGUGAAGAAGGUCUUCGGGUUGUAAAGCACUUUAAGUGGGGAGGCGUUACCCACAGAAGAAGCACCGGCUAACUCCGUGCCAGCAGCCGCGGUAAUUC
rnacentral:rRNA from 1 species